GGGAUGCUGAGAAUGAGGGGGCUGGGCUGACCGCCUUUGCCACAGAGGUCCUAAGGGCUUGAGGAAAAGGAGAAGCCCCCGGCUGUUACUCCCCGACCUCAAAACUUGCCCAAUAGCCUAAACCUUGGCCCAGGAACACAGUCAUGCGGAGCCCAGAAUAGCUCCUGCUGGCUGUGUGGCCAGGUCAGGCUUGGAGCAAGGGACACAGGGGCCGUCUGCCUCCAUCUGGCUGUAUUUCCCUCCUGCUCUCCCUCUCUCUACCUUUGGCAUCUACCUCUCCUCCCUACUCCCCUCUCCCUGUCCACAUUCUCAUGAGUUGGUCUCCAGAAGACUGCAAGGGGCAGGGAGAGCCCCCCAAUGACAGACACCCCCUCUGCGCCAGGCUGGUGGAGAAGCCCAGCAGAGGGUCUGAGGAGCACCCCAAGUCUGGCCCGGGACCCAUCGUCACCCGCACGGCCUCGGGACCUGCCCUCGCCUUCUGGCAGGCAGUGCUGGCUGGGGAUGUGGGCUGUGUCUCCCACAUCCUUGCAGACUCCAGUACUGGCCUGGCUCCUGAUUCCGUCUUUGACACCAGUGACCCAGAGCGAUGGAGGGAUUUCCGCUUCAACAUCCGUGCUCUGAGACUCUGGUCUCUGACAUAUGAAGAGGAGCUGACCACCCCACUGCAUGUGGCAGCCAGCCGUGGCCACACUGAAGUCCUGCGGCUACUGCUGAGGCGGCGGGCAAGGCCGGACAGUGCCCCUGGGGGCCGCACUGCCCUGCACGAGGCCUGUGCUGCAGGCCACACUGCCUGUGUCCAUGUGCUGCUGGUGGCAGGAGCUGACCCCAACAUCGCUGACCAGGAUGGGAAACGGCCCCUGCAUCUCUGCCGGGGGCCUGGCACCCUUGAGUGUGCGGAGCUUCUCCUCAGGUUUGGAGCGAGAGUGGAUGGUCGGUCCGAGGAGGAAGAGGAAACGCCUUUGCAUGUGGCCGCCCGGCUUGGUCAUGUGGAGCUGGCAGACCUGCUUCUAAGACGGGGGGCAUGUCCUGAUGCCCGUGAUGCCCAAGGCUGGACUCCACUGCUGGCUGCCUGUGAUGCCCGCUGCCAGUCUACUGCUGAUGCAGAGGCCACCACCACCCGCUGCCUGCAGCUGUGCAGCCUGCUGCUUUCAGCUGGAGCAGAUGCCGAUGCUGCUGACCAGGACAAGCAGCGACCCCUGCACCUGGCCUGUCGCCGUGGCCAUGCAGCUGUCGUGGAGCUGCUUCUGUCCUGUGGCGUCAGCGCCAAUGCCAUGGACUAUGGGGGACACACGCCCCUGCACUGUGCUCUGCAGGGCCCAGCUACAGCCCUGGCCCAGAGCCCUGAGCACGUGGUUCGGGCUCUGCUCAACCACGGUGCCAUCCGAUUCUGGCCAGGGGCCCUCCCCAAGGUAUGGGGGACUGCAGGCAGCAGGAGGGCCACCAAUGGUGAGGGGACAGGGAGACCUAGGCCUGUGCUCCAGCUUGCUUUGGAAUGUGGCCUGGAACACCUGUGCACAUAGUUCCUUCUGUCUUUCAUUCAGCAUGUAAGCAAAGCCCAAAUAGGGGUAAAGGUGAAGACAGAUCAGUGGGAAAUGUGUGUGCGUGUGCAUGUGUACACAUGGUGUGCACGUGUGUGCAUUUGUGCAUGUGUACACAUGGUGCGCAUGUGUGUCCAUGUGUUCAUGCACAUAUGUGCAUGUAUGUACUGUGCAUGGGUGAGAAAGGAGGACUGAGAGCAGUGGGGCCAGAUGAUAAAAGGAUUCAAAAAGACGGAAGGAGUCAGGGCUCAUGUGGGUGGCAGGCAUUGCUUAGGGGUCUGCAUCAGCACAGCAAACUGGUGAAAAUAGCAUUUGAGGAAGCUCCCACUAGCAGUGGGAUCAGUUCAGUGACAGACGCAGGAGAGACUUCCCAAGGGAAGAGGGUGAACCUGUUUCAGGAGGCUCACAGUCCCCUGAACAUCAGCAAAUGGACACGGUCCCACUUUCUGAGAAUCUAGCAGGACCCACAGGUGCCACUAUCCUGGCACCUAUGAAAAUGCCUUUCACUGUCAGUUUCAAUUUAUAUCCUGCUUUAUCUUAAUUUCCCCUAGGUGGGUUUGACUUGAAGACCUGUGCUACUGAUGCCCUGGGAGGGGCCUUGCCCCAUGCUGCGUCAUGUCUGGAGGGGGUAGAUAAUGUCAUGGAGGGCACUGGGCCUGGGAUGGGGACAUCUGUUCUCAGAGGAGAUGGGUCAGACUGAAACCACCCUCUGAGUAGGCAGGUCCCCUCUGGCCCCGCCCAGGGUCUUGUCCCACCCAGCCUUGCCUGUCCUGGGGCCACCCCUGCUGUCCCAGCCUCUCCCCUUUGCUCACAAACCUAGAAGCAUCUGUCUGGAUUCCUAAGCAAGACCAAAUAAUUAAACAGCCCAAGAGUUCGGCAGAUUGGUCUCCCCUUUGGGAAAAUACGAGAAAAUCAACAAUUAACACUAAUUAAUCUCCUAUUAACACUAGAUAAUUAGGAGACAAGCAAUUCCCUGUAAUCUGACAGCGGCUCUGACAGCUAAUGAUUUCCCCGGCAGGCAGGGGCGGGAGGAGGGCCCAGCACAGCGAAAGGAUUUCCUGGGACCCCACAGCCCUGCUCUACCCCUCAGCCUGUCUCUGGGACCAAAGGGGUUGGCAGAGCAAAGUACCCCAUUUGUCCCUUUCCAUGAUCUGCAGCCCUGCCAGCCUUGGCUGAGGGGUUUCUGUCCUCCCUGCACAGAAGCCUCCACUGCCCAUCUGUGAUAAAACACCAGCCCCCACUGGUUCUCUAGGAGCCACCACUUUGGACUUUGUACUCAGGGGACCUGGAUCCUGGAUGUGACUUUGAUGCUUUUUCUUGUGGCUGUAGGCAACUCACUGCAUGUGAUACAGCCUCUCCCGAACAGGGUGGAAAGCUGUAGGAGAGCACUGGGGAACAGUCGGAGCACGAGCAGCCCUGACCACACACCAGGCACUGCUCUAAGCUGUAUUUCCUGUUACAGGAGUUCCUCAGUCGUCCCAGUAACCUCUGAGGUCAGUGGUGACCAGUCGUGCAGGCUCCGGAGCCACACACACUCCCCGUGUGACCUUCGGCAAGUUGCUGAGUCUCCCUAGGCCUCAGCUUCCUCAUCUGUAACAUAGGGAUAUGACAUGAUGCCUUCUUCGUAGGGCUCGUGUGAGAAGAGCUAAUACACAUCAAGCCUGGUGCUUAACACUUGGUAGCUAGUGUUGUUCUCGUUAUGUAACGGAUGAGAAAGCACUUGGUAAGCUGAUUGGCAUCAACCCAAUGAGGGUAUCACUGGACAUGGGAGAGUGCAAAGCAGGUUGGUGUAGCUGCAUGGGCUUCCUGGAGGCAGGACUGGGAUGGGCAGUUUUGGAGGGAGGGAGGAGAAAGAGGCAAGCAUUCCAGGAAGGGUGGGCUGCUUGAGCCCAGUGCAGAGGUGAGGAUCAACAUGGGCCGGAAUGCAGGUGGAGAGGAGAGUCGGAGGGAACCAGCCUGCUUUUCCCUAGCUCCGAGGAGGAGUGAGGAAAAGAGGCCUCCUGGGACAGGCUGGUGGGCACUGCUCAGAUGUAGGGCUAGAAGCAGAGGGCCUGGAUGUGUAAAAGGCUUUCUCCAGGGACCCCUGGAAGGCCAGGCCUUCUGCUCCCACUGAUCAUCAAUACUCUCAUCUGACAAGCAGAAGGGUCUCCUCUCUUUGCAGGCAGAAGCUGCCAAGCCCCCACUGUUAGAUGCAAUUGUAUGUCUGGGCACAUGUGGGUUGUGCUGAGAUACUGCUUGAAAGAUGGUACUUAGCUGUUUCCAGAUCUUACAAAGGUUCUGUGGCCACAGCCUCUAGAUAUGCAGUGAGAGUGGAGUGCAGCGGAGGAGGCAGGAAUCUGCUUCAGGUGCUGGAGCGUUGGAGCACGUGCCCUCGAGCCAUCGAGGUCCUGAUGAAUACCUACAGCACUGUGCAGCUUCCGGAG